AGAGUUUGAUCCUGGCUCAGGAUGAACGCUAGCGGCAGGCCUAAUACAUGCAAGUCGAGGGGCAGCGCUGGGUAGCAAUACCUUGGCGGCGACCGGCGUAAGGGUGAGUAACACGUGAGUAACUUACCUGUGACAGGGGCAUAACCGAUGGAAACGUCGACUAAUUCCCCAUAACAACGGGCUGGGCAUCCGUCCCGUUUGAAAAUUCCGAUGGUCACAGAUAGACUCGCGUCGCAUUAGCUAGUUGGCGGGGCAACGGCCCACCAAGGCGACGAUGCGUAGGGGUUCUGAGAGGAAGGUCCCCCACAUUGGAACUGAGACACGGUCCAAACUCCUACGGGAGGCAGCAGUAAGGAAUAUUGGACAAUGGAGGCAACUCUGAUCCAGCCAUGCCGCGUGAAGGACUAAGGCCCUAUGGGUCGUAAACUUCUUUUGACGCAGAGCAAUAAGGCCCACGCGCUGGGCCGACGAGAGUACGCGUGCAUCGGCUAACUCCGUGCCAGCAGCCGCGGUAAUACGGAGGAUGCGAGCGUUAUCCGGAUUUAUUGGGUUUAAAGGGUGCGUAGGCGGCUUUGUAAGUCAGCGGUGAAAUACCAGCGCUCAACGUUGGGGUUGCCGUUGAAACUAUAGAGCUCGAGUUCGGAUGCCGUGGGAGGAAUGAGUAGUGUAGCGGUGAAAUGCAUAGAUAUUACUCAGAACACCGAUUGCGAAGGCAUCUCACGAAUCCGAAACUGACGCUGAGGCACGAAAGCGUGGGGAUCAAACAGGAUUAGAUACCCUGGUAGUCCACGCAGUAAACGAUGAUAACUAACUGUCGGCGAUAAACGGCCGGUGGCCAAGCGAAAGCGAUAAGUUAUCCACCUGGGGAGUACGACCGCAAGGUUGAAACUCAAAGGAAUUGACGGGGGCCCGCACAAGCGGAGGAACAUGUGGUUUAAUUCGAU
rnacentral:rRNA from 1 species